rnacentral:lncRNA from 13 species
CCUGCUUCUAUGAUGCAUGUGUAGGGCGGAGAUUCAGCUAAAUGGAGCAUCUAUGGCAAGAAGCUUCAAGGGUUUCCCUGGGUUGGUCCCUAUGUGAUGUUUCUAAUGUGAAAUGCAGCCUGUGAAAGAGAAGACAAUGCCUCGAGUCUGAUCUGUCCUAAGAUGAAUGUGCUAAUGCUCCAGGACCGAUAAGACAGAGGAGGUCAAGAAGGGGCCUUGUGGCCUGCUUCAAGCUAGAAGUCUACUGUGGUCGAUGAAAAAAUGCCCUACCCAAAGGUAUCUACAUCCUAAUCCCAGAAUUUGUGAUUUUUACAGAGGUGAUUAAGUUAUAAAACUUUAGAUGGGAAGAUUAUCUCAGAUUACUUGGGUGUGUUUAAUAUAAUCACAAGGACCCUAAAAGUAGAAGAGGUUUGCAGAAGAGAGGGAAAGAGGAGAUAGAAGAAAGAGCAGUGUAAGAACUCAGUUGACCUUUGCUGGCUUUGAAGAUGGAGAGUAGGACCAUGACCCAAGGAAUGCAGGCAGCUUCCAGAACCUGGAAAGGGCAAGGAAAUAGAUUUUUCUCUGGAGCCUUGAGACAGAAACACAGAUCUCAGACUUCUAGCCUUUAGAACUGCAAGAAAAUAAAUUUCUGUUGUUCAAGCCACCCAGUCUGUUGUAUUUUUUUAGGACAGUUCUAGCAAACCAAUACAAACCCUCAAGGAAGAGAGAGGCAGUGUAAGAACUCAAUUGACCAUUGCUGGCUUUGAAGAUGGAGAGUGGGACCAUGACCCAAGGAAUGCAGGAACGCCCUUGCCCAAGGCCUUUUUGUGGCCCACUCUCUCACUGUGUUGGCUGAUCCUCUGGGAAGCAGACUUCAAGGCAGUUUUAGGAGAGUUCGAGAUGUAUCGGGGGUAAGGCCUGUGAAAGGUAAAGUGGGGAAGGGGCAGGAGUGGGCAGGCUGGGCCUUGAGACCACAGUGCAGGUUUGACACCCUUUCAGGGAGAGGAGGAGAAAGGAGGAUUGGAGGAAGAGCCUCUGAUUUCCACACGUGCUGCACUGAGAAAGUGUCAGCCAGCCCAGUGGGGAGCUUUGGCUACAGAGAUUGCCUGUGGAAGAGUCCCACGCUGCCUGGGAAAUGUAAAAAAACAUAGUUAAGAAAACAAAAGACCAAGGAAGAUCCUGAAAGCACCAGCAGCUAGAAGCUGUCAGCAGAGAGCGACUUUUGUGGAAGCGCAUCUCCACGGCUGCCACGCUCACCUUCUCAGGCCUCUGCCGAAAUGGCAACUGAGCGGUGAGUCCUUUAAUGACUAAAUUACAUCCAAGAGAAAGGCCUAUCCUUCUUUUCUUUUUUUUUUUUUUGAGAUGGAGUCUUGCUCUGUUGCCAGGCUGGAGCACAGUGGCACAGUCUCAGCUCACUGCAAUCUCCACCUCCUGAGUUCAAGCGAUUCUUCCGCCUCAGCCUCCCGAGUAGCUGGGACUACAGGUGUGUGCCAAACACCUGGUUACUUUUGGAAUUUUUUGUAGAGACAGGGUUUCACCAUGUUGGCCAGGAUGGUCUUGACCUCUUGACCUCCUGAUCCACGUGCCUUAGGCUCCCAAAAUGCUGGGAUUACAGGCAUGAGCCACUGUGCCUGGUACCUUCCUUUUUUUUUUUUUUUUGAGACUGAGUCUCUCUCUCUCUCCAGGCUGGAGUGCUGUGGCACGAUCUUGGCUCACUGCAGCCUCCAGCUCCCAAGUUGAAACAAUUCUACUGCCUCAGCCUCCUGAGUAGCUGGGACUACAGGUGCAUGGCACCACGCACAGCUAAUUUUUGUAUUUUUAGUAGAGACUGGGUUUCACCAUGUUGGUCAGGAUGGUCUUGAUCUCUUGACCUCGUGAUCUGCCUGCCUCGGCCUCCUAAAGUGCUGGGAUUACAGGUGUGAGCCACAACACCUGGCCAGGCCCAUCCUUCUUACCCAAGUUAAUUUUUCUCCAUUACACUUAAAACCUUCUGACUUUUAUAUUUACCUGUUUAUUUUCUGCUUCCCCAGUAGACCAUGAGCACUGUGUGUAUAGAGUGUCCAUCUGUAGACUCACAGAGCAAGAAGCGUGCCUGCCUCAAUCUUGAAUGGAUGAGUAAGUGACCUACCUGAUGAUUCAUUCAUUAGACAA